rnacentral:rRNA from 1 species
UACGUAGGGGGCUAGCGUUGUCCGGAAUCAUUGGGCGUAAAGAGCGUGUAGGCGGCCCGAUAAGUCCGCUGUGAAAGUCCAGGGCUCAACCCUGGAAUGCCGGUGGAUACUGUCGGGCUCGAAUCCGGAAGAGGUGAGUGGAAUUCCUGGUGUAGCGGUGAAAUGCGCAGAUAUCAGGAGGAACACCAAUUGCGAAGGCAGCUCGCUGGGACGUUACUGACGCUGAGACGCGAAAGCGUGGGGAGCAAACAGG